CCUGAUGCAAUGCAUAUUCAGAAUUUUUUCUUUUCCUGGAGUUUAGUUCCAGAGGAAAACAUACUUGACUGGUGCUCCCACCAGCCAGCUGCAGUUUGUAACAAUAAUUAACAGUAAGAUACUGCAGCAGAGAUGGGGAGCAGAGAAAUGCAGUCCAGCAGCUUCAGUUAUGCAGUUCUGUUCACUUCUAAGGAUUCCAAAGUGCUUAACAAACAAUAUUACAGGCAGGACGGGCAGCUCUGCCCAUGGUGAAGGUUUCCUAAUGCUUCCUGUUAUAAGAUUCUGGUUUUGUUUUUUUCAGAGCUUUGCCGAACUUUAUGUGUUUAGGCUAAAUUUAUUUUUAUCCAAUGCCGGUCUCUAGGUGUUUUGUUUUGUUUUGUUUUGUUUUAAUUUUUGAACUGAAAAGUGGUUGAACUAUUUAUAAGAAUGCAGCUAGCAAAAAGUAUGUUUUCUGCUUAUGUAAAAAAAAAAAAAAUCUGACCCCUGUAUUUUAAAAGGUUUUGCAGCAAAGACAGACCUUUCUCUGCCUUUGAAUCAGGUAUGUGCCUUUUGCCAUCCUCACAAAGCCUUUCAAAUUUGGUCGACUGUUUCAAGAUGUGGAAAAAACCACGGUUACCAAAUAUUCCAUAGAGAUUUACUAAAGCCUAACAGCAAAUAUUUCCAGAGAUUUCAUCUUCUCCGCCUCGCACAGCUCCUUCCCGUGAUCAGACUUUCCAGAUGCCGUCCUCGCAGAAUGACUGAGCAGUCACUAGCUGGGUGCACCAGAGGCCAAACUGGGGGCGACCCCCGUAGUGCUGUCCCGGGGCAUUGCUGUGAGCUGCAGCGAUCCCACGAGAGUAGGGAUCCUGUCCCUCCGGAGCUGGAACGCAACUCAGGGCUCCCAAAUUUUAUCCUUCGUGUGCUGUUGGCAAGCCUCCAGCAUAGUUUCUCUUUGCCGUUAGCCUCAAUGCACGUAGAGGGUUGGACAACCUCAACAAGGCGCUGAGCAACCACAUCUAAUGUUGGGAUUAGUCUCCUGCUUUGAGCGAGGAGUGGGACCACAUGAGCUCCUGAGGUCCUUCCACCCCGAGUUAGUCCACGGUCCUGUGAUUCUUUGCUGUCCGUUUCCCUAUUAGUUUGUGAGGGUCUGAAGGCACCAUCCUAGCUGAAGGGUCUCUGUGGGUAUGAUGCACAUAGUGGGAAUAGUCUUCAUUAGUUUGUUUUUAAAAACAAGUAUAUGCAAAAUGCCUCGUUAAGAUAAUAUUCAAGCUACGUGGAUGAGUAUCCUAAAAUGAAGAAUGACAUAAUGAUCUCUGCAGCCGUAUGCUUCCGACAUAUGUUUGUGUUGGAACACUGACUCUAGUUUGGGGACUGCACUGUGUUUUUUCCCAUACGGCUUCAUCCCUGGAUCUAGCAUGGCUCUGCUCUGGAGCUGAAGCAGUAUCGAGGAGAACUGGUGGACAGUAACUGCAGAACUCCAGCUCACUUGUUGAGAAGGUGCAAGGUAUUUUCUGAAUGAGGCAGGGCAUGGUGGGAAAAAGAAAACAAGGUCUCUGGGUUAAGGGAGUGGAAUUCUGCUCUGGAGAGCUGGACAGUAUCCUUGCCUCUUCUACCAUGCUCCUGUGUGGUAAUGGGCAAACAUUUCCCAAGUGGUUAUUAAUUGCCAGAAGAGCCUUUCUGCUUGUGCCAGUAGUAUCUGGAACAAGAUGAUUGUGCAAAUGUCAUCCAUCAGUCACAACUCUUUCUUUGGUAAUGUCAUAUAUGACAUUCCAUUUAAUAAAGCCUUCAUCAAGUCAGGUUAGGUAAUUGUUAGUUCCUUAUAUCUGUUUAUCAUCUAAUGUUCACCUUCUAUUUAUAUUUACACAUUAUACUUAUAAUUAUUUAUAAAUGAUUAUUUGGCAGUGAAUCAGGCAAACUAUCUCGAAAAUCUCUGAAAUUCAUGGAAAUGUUCAGGCAGCAUAUGAGAUUGUUUUUCAAACCUCAGCAGGCUUAAUUAGAUCCUGCAGUUCAUUCAUUUGCACUGAAGUCAAUUGGAGUUUUGCAUGUGGAAAGUCUGCGAGAUCAAAAAUUAUGCCCAAUGGGCACAUAGCUCUAUAGAAGAAAAUGUCAGCUCCGGAUGGUAGUAUUUUUGACUUCUCAUCGGUUAGACUCUUUCUCCCCCCUCACUUUUUCUCUCUUUCUCAAUUAGCUUUUCUUGCAUUUUUAUGUGAGUGGUUUUGAAAGGGUUCCUGGAAAAAAAAACUUGCUGCAUAUACUGUACAUGUUUUCAUUUACAGAUCACUGAAAUGGAUAGGCAGAUAAAUAGAUAGGGUUUUCUGAUCUUGUGAAAUAUGUUGCAUAAUAUAAACCCCUCUUCUAAGGCUGUUUUGUCAAAUAUGUCAAAUGAUAUUUUUGGAAUUAUAUUUCUGGAAUAUAUUUUCAGAGUUCCUUAUUGCUGUUCUUGAUCUAUGCACCCUUGUUUGAUAGUCCCUUAAUCUCUCCGAUAUAAAUUGAAUGAAUAGCAGCAUUUAAAAACAUGGCUUCAGGGACUCCUUAGGAGGUUUCUUUGUAAGUGUACAUUUACUAGUUCAUCUGUAAAUUUAUUUUAUGAGGUGUUUAAACCUCAAGAAAACUGAAAAGCAUAAUAUUAAUGCCUGGUUUACAUCUACUGAAGUCAAUGGGAACUUUGCAAUUGACUUUAAUGGUAGCCUACGUCCUCUAAUUAUGAAAGUGGCAAGGAUGAUAUACACAAAACCACAAGGAGAGUUUUCUGUUUCAUCAUGUCCUAUUCUGUUUGCAGAUGCACAAGCAAAGUACAAUGCGGUUUGUUCUUGAAUUAAACAAUUCAGUGUUUGGACCUAAUCCUGAACCACGUCGCUACUUUAGGUGGUGUUUUGCUUCUCAGAAGGUCACGGACUGCUCAUUCUCUGUGUGGCUCACGAAGGUGACAUGGUAGGAAAUCCAGCCAAAUUUUCAAAAGGCUUUUGAGAAUUACGCUUUUCGUUUUGAUCUUACAUCUGCCCCAUGGUACGAGUAAUGGAAGAAGUUGAUGAAGCAGUUUUCUUCCUAAUUGUCUCGGGUUUUUUCAUGUGAUCAAUUUUGACAAGGUUCCUGGAAAGGCACAUAAUAUCUGUAGCGCAUAUGUAGAUGUUUUCCCUUAAGGUUCGCUGAAGUGUAGUAGAAAGUUUCCAUAACGCUAUCGUAAUCCCAGGCAUCAUUUUUGUAUCGUGUUAGUGAAAGUGAGUGAGAGUACACCACAACAAAAAAAGACUCCCCUAAUUCAGCUUUUUUUCUGUUAGUGUAACAAGAGCAGCAGUCUGAACAGGCUAGAUCUGGUAAGUAAUUUGUAGUAGUAAAUAAUGCUAGACAAAAAUUCCCACAAGCUUCUUGUUGAGUCUGCUUCAGAGGUAUUACUCAUUGGUGGCUGAAAUGCUGGUCUUGCUUCACAUUUUGAAUGCCUGUGAAAGAUUUAAAUAUUUUGUUGGUAACUGGAGCCGGUAGCGCGCUGCGCACAAGAGCUCAUCAAAAGUUUUCGGAUGGGGCCAUGCUCAGCUGGAAAAUGCCACUUGUGCGGGGUGAAAAUGCCGUCCCUGGGCUGCAUCAGCUCCACCGAAGCCCCCGAGGGAUCCGAGCCGGGGGGCUGCUGCCCCGUCCCCACCGCCCGCGCCAGCCACCCCUCGGGUCUCCGCCGGGCUAACCAGACCACUGGCGUGGCAAUAAAUAACAAAGUGGGUAAAGUCACCUCUUAAGGUGGACAAAAGCUCCACCGCCAAAAUUAAAAGGGAGUAAAUUCUGGUUGUUGCCCCCCUCUCCCAAGUCUCCCCCUGCCCCAGCACCGCCAGCUCCCACCUUGUCCGUGCGGUGGGCUGGCAGCUCUCUGGCUUUCUCCCCUCGCCUCCUGCCAGGCUGGUGGGGGAUCAGACCUUUCUGGUCCCCCCCUCCCCAAGCCUCCCGGGUCCUCAGGCUGCAGCCCCUCCAGGCUACCCAGCCCCGAGGCUUCCCGAUUCACAGGCGGCUGCUUUUUUUGAGGUAUCCCAGUGUUAGGGCAGCCGGGAGCGCAGCAGCCCUGGGGUUUGUGCUGUCCAGUGAUGCAAUUCUUUGGGAGGGAGCUGGAAAUAUCGUAUACUGGCUUGCUCAAAAAAACCCAGUGUGUCAUAAAUUCUCCCUCAGGAAAAAAGCGGUUAUUAGUAUUUAUUGCUGGCCUAACACAAAAUUUGUCUGUGUCAAAAUUACUUUGGGAAAAGUUAGUUAAAAGAGAACCUGUAGAGAUCAUUCUGGAUGGCUGCUGUAGCCCUUAGUUCAUCUUUAUCAUCUAGAAGUGAACAGAGAUCUCUGUAGUAUAAUUAGAGAAAUAAAUAACGACUGGAAAUUAUGUCUUUAUGGGAGACUUAGACUCCUAGAUGUAGGUUGGAGGAAGGUGUGCAGAAGUAGGGACCUAUCUCUCAAGGUACCUAUUAACAUGGUACAUGAAAUACUUCUUCACAAAGUGACUUCUCAACCAAUCCUAUUUAGACUUUGUUGUGAUGAGCACCAUGGCUUCUGUGGAAGAAUAAAAAUAAAAGCAGCUUUGAAACAAGUACUCACAAGUCUACUGUGUUCACACUAAAUAGAAGAAUAAAUAGAAGCAGGACUGUAGUUAAGGUUCCUGAUUUUGAAAAGGAAAAUUUUGAUAAACUACGUGAAUUAAUUACUGCAGUCAUCUGGGUUGAGGAGCCAAGGGGUUGAAACGUGGAGGAGGUGUAGAGUGUUUAAAGUUUCAGAUGUGAAACUACCUAGAACUUAUAUCCCAAACAAAAGAAAAAAAAUAGUCGGAAAAGACACUGUAUCUAAUUUGAUGGGUAAUCAUCACAGAAAAUAUGUUGGUAGGCAAGGCAGGGGCAGAGGAGAAAGAGGGAUCAGCAAAGAAAGUCGUGUCUCAGAAGGCAGGAUAUGUGGGAAUAAAGUAAAAACAAAUGAAAGGAGUUUGAGAGAAGUACCAAAAAGUUCCUCAUCUAGAAGAAAUGUGGGAAAGAGAAAGGGUCCUGUGCCGUGAAGAUGAACUAUAAGCUGCGUUGGAUAAACUGAUGGUGAUCUAGCAACAGGGCAAAGUCUGGAGGCUUACUGAGGGUAUGGAAAUGGCAGUUAACCAACCAACCAACCAACCAACCAACCAACGGGGGAACAAAGCUCAGGACAAUUAAUGGGCUCCAGUCGGGGGAGUGGGAUAACUGGUGUUCCAGCAUUCAGGCAGAACAGGUACAUGAAACCGUAUGUGCGAAUGUCUCAUAAGGAGAAAAGGGACCAUGUGUCAGAAGGGUGUGGAGAGUUGCGUGGACAAGAGCAGGCCUAUUAAUCUGACCUCAGGGGUGCAAAGCAUUAAAACAGAUCUUGAAGGAAAGAAAUUUCUAUAUAGUAAAUAGGAAAAAAAAAAAAAUUGGAAAAAACCUCCCUUGAGUGUGGUAUGCAAAUCUGGUGCUUUGAUUUGCUGGAAAAGUGACAUCUUGCAAAACCUAACCUUUCUGGAUCUCGGUGGAGAAUUUGCUAUGGUACAGCAACAUAUUUGAUAUGUCCCCAGGAAAUAUUUUUCUCUGAGGAGGAGGAGAUGAGUAGGGAAGUAGGGGGGGCAGGUGAGGAGGAGAAGGGUAGUGAAGUAGCAAUUCUCUAAUCAAGUUUACCUGCUAGUUUGGGUCAGGUAGUUAUGCUUUUUUUUCUCCAGGGACUGAUAUUACAUCCUGUGCAGUCUGCAGUGCUUAGCAGUCCUGUGCAGACACAGAAGGCACACACGGUGUGGAUUCUCUCUUGUUUUGCUCUUACCAGAGUUUAGAAUGUAUGACAUUUUGGCUGAAAGUGUAUGUUUUUAGAUGGAAAACCAUAACUGGUUCUGGUGUUUGGUGGUAGCAUUGUAAAAUGACAAACAACUUGGAGAAUGUGAAACAGAGUAGAAGGGAAAAAAAAGCAAUGCAAAAAGUAGAAAUACAAAAAUAUGCAACACUCAGGAACCUUCUUACUUACUCUGUGCAGGGGGAACUGUUGCAGUUCUGGGUCUGUAUCGUGUUUGUGGCUCAAACUCCCGCAUAGCACCAACCCUUCCUAAAGGGAAGGAAGGAGCGGUGUACACCUCCUCUGCUGCCCCGUGGUCCGGGCAGGGAGACUGUCUGCCCAGGACAGAGCACAGCGAGCUUUCCUCAAAUGCCGUGAAGAUGGAAGAACUGAAGGAACAGAGUUGUGAAGUAUCUGCUCAAAGCUGUGAAGGAGGCCAGUGACAAAUCCAGGAGUAGAAGCCAAGUCUCCUAAGUUGCAGCCUAAUGCCAUCUAAUACUGUAAUCAACAAGAAAGUUUGCCUUCUGAUGUUACAAUGAGGAUGAACCCCCAAGGCAUGGCUAGCAAUGGCUGUUUGAAACAAGAAACAGAUACACUCUUGGUGUCAUUCAUUUCACUGAUCACUGGGAAUCUGAGCCUGCACAAAGGUGGAGGAAGACUCCUACAGGGAACUGGGAACGGUUUGUCCCUUAAGAAGGGUAUAAUGGCAUUUUUAAUGUUUUUACCAAAUGCCAGGGCAUGUGAUAAAAGUUUAUGGAUCAGGAAUUAAUUGAAAGAUUGUGAAACGGGAAAGAAUGCGCAUUGCGGGAAGCCUUGGAGAGCUAGAACCUAAGCACCCUGAAAUUUGCGACCAAGCCCACAGAAUAUCUCUGGAGUUAUUGGAACCAUCUCAGAUGACUGUUAUUUUUGAUAUAAUUUACCAGUCCCAGUAAGCUCCCCCAGCCAGAUUGGGAAAAGACGUUCCUUUUAUUAAUGUUCGUCCAGGGAACUAAAGUGUAUUCUGGGUAGUGAAACAUCUAGUUUAUGGAAUUAGCUACAGAACUCAGAUUUUUAAAAAAAAAAGGCAGCAUGAAUUUGUACCUGGGAGGUGGUACAUGUUUUAAAAAAUGCUGUUCAAAAGACAAUGUGCUUAUAUCUAAAGUCUGUUAUCUGCAACAUCAAAGUUUACAGUUUUAUAUGUAUGAAAUAACACAACUGUAUGAUGAAACGUGAAAUGUAUAAUUAAAAUAAUGUCUAUAAGUAUAGAACUAUGUAAAUAUUAUCUAAAUCAUAUGUGUAAGCAUUAAAUAAACUAUUUCAUUUCUAGAGGUUACAGAAAACACUUCAAAAUUUUAUACAGUCCUUCCACCCACCCUAAUUUUUAAUAUAAUUGCAGUUUUAGAGCUAAUCUGUCUAUUCAUUUUUUAAUAUUUGCAGUCAUGUUAAAUUUUACCAAGGAACAAUUUAGUUUGGGGAAACGGUUACACUUUAUCCCAACUGUGGUUUGUGUUGUUUGAACAAGAAGUCCCUGAGUAUUUGUCCCAAAUACCAGUAUUUUUACUCCACUGGCAGCUGUGUAUUUGUGGUCACCCUACAGCAACGUAUGCAAAGAAUGUACACAGUGGCAGUGCCUCUUCCAGAGAGCACCAGGAGGAAAACUGGAUGUGGUCAACCUGCACAUAAUUUGCUCUUCUUAGUGGAGGUCGCACGUAGACAGCACUUAAACGACACUUUUAGUUUCUGGAUAAGAUGAAGGUAAGGUAUAGAAACCAUUUGAAAGCCAUUGCUUAUGUUUCCUGAAAUGGGCUGAAAAGAACAGCUCUUCCGAGACAUAGCUUUACACUGAACAUAUGCAGAGCUGUGUCAUUAUUAAUUCUGAAAAUGUGUUUACAAUGGUUAGGUAAAAUAUUUGGUUACUAUUUAAAUAUUUUGAUGUAUUAUAGCUCAUACACAGAUUUUAGAUGUCUACUGCACUUAACAGUUCCAAUUUAAAUAACUGGUUUCUUUAAGAUUUUUAGUGAUACAAAUUAAUAACAAAAGGCAGUUAAUACAGAGUGCAGUUAUGAGACCAAAAUACAUGUGGUUUAAAUUUAAAGAAUUAAAUGUUAGCAUUUCCCUAUAGAGAAAGGUUAUUUGGGCAGUGGUGUACUGACAUUAUCACCACCCACAGAGAAGGGGACCUGUUGAUCCUAUUGGUUAAGCAGAAAUUCAAAAAAGGAAAAAAUGUAGGUCUAGAGGGUUUGCCUGGUAUAAGCAAAUCACACAGGAAAAAUGCUGAUACCCAGAGUCGUCGUAGUGACCUUCUUUGAUGGUUAGAAAGAGAAAUAAGCCCGCGAUAUUUUUGUCAAGUUAGAGGGUUUAGGUUGCUUGCUAGGUAAAAUCGGUCUUGGUUAUUAAUAUAGUGGAAAGUUAAAUGAUGACCAUGGAAAUAUGAUAAUAAGUGCUCUUGUAAAUUAGACAGGAAUGAUUUUCUGUGGCCAUUAAGAAUGGUAAUCCAAUGUGUUAACCGUUGGGCUGAAGGGCUGCUAAGAAAAUAAAUGUGGCAAGAGGAUAAAAUAAAAGUAUGUUUAAGUAGGUGUUUCUUCAAAGCUUCCUUCAGGAAGGUGUUUCUGGACACUACCAUACUGCUUCUGACAAAUCGUGUCUGUUAAGAUAAAGGUAAGCAAACAGCAUUCAUUUAGCAGUAAAUAGUGCUAUCUGUACCUCUGGAUUCCUGUUUUAGCAAACCUUUAUAAUAAUUUUAUUGGACCUAGCUAGAAACAAAUCUACUAAAAAUAACAAUUACUAAUUUGCCACUAUUUAAUGUUAGUUUAAUCUGACAACUCUGGGAUGGCUUUGCCUGUUAUUCCUGGAAGAAACUACAUAAAAUUGGGUGGUUUUGAGUAGUUUUAUCCAGACAUGGGACUGCACAGAAAAGUCAGGUCUCAACAUCGCUGCAUGUAGGGAAAGCUUGUCUCUGACCCUCGCUCUGACAGCUUGAACACAGGCUGAGCUACACCCCAGGCUACUGGUACUCUGCACUUUGGCUUUUGAAAUUUUCUGGGUGAGAUAUAGUUUCAACAUGAAAAGUCAAAAUAUGGUGGUUUACAAUCAGUUUUGCUUUGUUUGAAGCUAAAACUCAAAGCAAAACUCCCGGGGCAUAGAACUAUACGAAGCAAAACAUCAGAAAGUUAACACAAAAACACUGCAAACUGAACAAGCUAGUUUCACUCAGCUCUUGAAAUAACCCCUUUCUGCAAGUUCACUUUUCAAUUGCAGAUGUGCGAGAUGUCAAAAAUGAGUUGGUUUCACUACCCCGUGGCACAGAUGAAUGCUGCAGCUCUAAAGCAUCACCCUCCGUCUGAGCAAGGUGUCCCUCUCUGUCUCGGCUGAUACUUUAGAUAUCUGCUAAGGGACGCAAUUUUCUCAGCCCCAGGCUAGUAACAUUUACCUUUUGUUCAUCUGUAAAACAAGGGAUUUGGGGUAAGAGCCAAAUCCCAGCCCGUAUGUUUUUUAUAGUUGUAUCCAGCUCUGAACUCAUUUCCUAAAUCUCUAACAAUGCUCUAAAUGGCACCCAGUCCCAAAAUGGCAGGAGUCACUUCACCUCUGUGAGGUCAUCUGAGGAUUCAUGUGUUUCAAGUUUUCUUGAUUUUCUGGUAGUUUCAGGAUGCUGAACACCUGCUGCUCUUCCUCGCUAGUGCCGGAGCUGCAGGUGCUCAUGUCCUUGUGAAGAUCAAACCCCUCCUCCCAAGGCACUCUUAUUUAUAGUGAAGCAACAAACAAUCCUCUGCUCUGCUUUUGCUUUUUGUAAAAUUUUAGUGCAACUGGCUUGAAAUGAACCUAUGAACUGCACUGAGACAGAGAUACUUUUAGUUGGUGAGUGUGUAUAAGUUCAGACUGGUCAGGGCUCCUUUGUUUGCUGGGCAGCUGAUCCCUUUUCUUUCCCCCCAAAAUAUUGAGGGACUGGACUCCUGAGCUUCCAAAAUUAUUACUGACGGAGAAGCAAGGCAUCAGCAGCAGUGGGGCUAAGUGAGUCAGCUUCUAGAUGUAGAUCUCUGACUUUGGCAACUUUGUCGAGAAGAACUAGAGUGAUGUUCAGAAUAAUAAAAAAAAAGAAUAUCAGACAAUCAGUGAUCUUGUGUGCAUAUAGCUUGCUUACUCAUAUGUCAAAUUUUCGUGGUGAAAUGGUACCUAGGAAAGUGCAGAGUGCAAGGGGAAUGGCUGGCUUUGAAGGUUUAAGGAUAUCUUGAAAUACAGCUCACAGACUGAGUUACACAUGGAUUAUUGUGAGUGGAAUUUACAAUAUAAUGGCUCACCUCUGCACAAGAGUGAAUUUUAUAUGGUGUGAGCCUAUGUUACUGAAAAAUACCAUUGGGCUGUUGGUGGAAGGUAAAUAUUAUGUGACUCUGAAUCUCACUUGGUAUUUUAAACCAUGAGAGUUUCAGAUUUGAGUCAUAGUAACUUGUAAGUAGGGUAUGUAUAUGCAUAUAGAGCACACAAGCUGUAAGCAAGGCUUCUGCCUUGGGGUGAUUUUCUCCUCAAAUUGCAGAUUUGGUUCUCUGUUAUUGCAAAUCAUUAUAGCCUCAAUGAAAAGUCAGAAGUCAGAUUAUGUGCUUCCCAAUUUUUAAAAGAAACACGAACUAGAAACCUUUAGAGUCUUCUAUUUUCUUCUCUGUUUGGCACUUUGAUUUUCAGAACCCUUGGUCCAAGAAAUCAUGUUACACCUUUCUUAUACCUCUGCUUCUCCAUGGUGCUUCCUGCGUGGAGCUGGCAUCAGAAUUUGUCCAACCUCUAAUUUACCCCAUCAGAGCACUCAGCAGAUCUAAUCUUUCAUUAGAGGCAGAAACUUGGCUAGCACUGCUCAAAGAGCACCUUUAACCCAAGAUCUUCACUGGAGAACUCCUCUAGUCAGAGCAAGAGCUGGAGAAGAUGGCACACGAGUGCCUGCUAGCAGCCCUGGAGGCACGUGUGGGAAAAAGUUCUUUUUCUUCUCUUUUUUUUUUUUUUUUACUUUUAAUUCAGCACUUUGACUUAAAACAUGCAUCUAGGCAAGCUAUGCAAAGAGUGACUUGCUGAACAGAAGACUGUAAGGUAGGAUUAGAGGCUCUGCUUAAGAGAAACUCUGCUUCAGCCUAGAGAACAAUCCCACCACAAAAUAAAAUUAACUUUAAAAGCAAUGAGAUUUUCCACUGUUAACUUAAUAGCAGCAAACCACAUGUUCUAAACAAUGUUUUAAUUUUUUUUUUUUUGUAUAAGGACUCAUUUUUAGUAACAAACCCCAGACUAUUAGCCCUGCCAUUUUUCCACUGCUGGAGGAAAACGUGGACUCUUGCUGAGUCGUACGGUGAGUAUCUCAGAGAUGUUUGAAUCUGCCACCAAUAAAAAGGCCUCUAAAAUGCUAGCAUAGAGGAACCAGUUCAAGGUAGAGGAAAUGGAAAAAAUUGGGAAAAAGAAGAAACAUCUCUUUGGAUCUUUAGCUCUGUUAUUUUUUUAGAUUAUAUUUCUUCUGGGCUCCCAAAAUCUUCAGUAACAAACAAGUUUUCUUUUAAAAAGUAUUAAGUUAUCAAAACAUUUGCCAGGUCCUAAUAUUAAAUCCUAGCAAUGUUUAAGUUCAGCCAUAUCAUUUUGCUGAGUAAGUCAUCCUAAAACUUAAAGUUUUCCCCUCGAAAUGAUCUUUCCAAAUGAGAUUGAUAUUGUGAGAAAAAAAGAAAAAAAGAGAAGGACGCCUUCAUCGUGAGGAAUUAUGGAAUUAAUUUUCUUUAUACACUCUGUUUGCACAAGACAUUUUUGUUAACUCUUAAUAAAAAUACCAUUCAGCUGCUACUUUCAUUGUUUUUAUCCUGGGACCAAUACAACAUUGUCAUUAUUGGAUAUAAAGUGCUGUAAAAACAAAUCUAAUUUGUUAAGUUUAUUUUGAUAAGAAAUAAAUAUAAAGGUAGUGCAUAGUUUGUACAGUGCUGCUAUCAUAGGACUCCUGGGUAUAAUUUAUAUAAAGAAAAUAAAAAAGCAUACAUAACUUUCUAGUUGAUUUCCUUUAACAGGGCUAAUUGAAAACA